rnacentral:rRNA from 1 species
UCAAGUGUCUUAAGGGCGUUUGGUGGAUGCCUUGGCGACAAGAGGCGAUGAAAGACGUGGUACGCUGCGAUAAGCCAUGGGGAGCUGCGAACAGGCUUUGAUCCGUGGAUUUCUGAAUGGGGAAACCCACCCAUUUUGGGUAUCCUGAUCUGAAUAUAUAGGGUCAGGAGGCGAACCCGGGGAACUGAAACAUCUAAGUACCCGGAGGAAAGGACAUCAACAGAGACUCCGUUAGUAGUGGCGAGCGAACGCGGACCAGGCCAGUGCUUAAUAUUUUCUAAUCUGAAUAGUCUGGAAAGGCUAACCAUAGAAGGUGACAGUCCUGUAGGGGUGUUGAAGAUAUUGAGACUUGAGUAGGGCGGGACACGUGAAAUCCUGUCUGAACGUGGGGGGACCACCCUCCAAGCCUAAGUACUCCUUGUCGACCGAUAGUGAACCAGUACCGUGAGGGAAAGGUGAAAAGCACCCCGACGAGGGGGGUGAAAGAGAUCCUGAAACCGAGCGCCUACAAGCAGUCGGAGCCCGCGAGGGUGACGGCGUACCUUUUGUAUAAUGGGUCAGCGACUUAAUUUAUCGAGCGAGCUUAAGCAGUUAUGUGUAUGCGUAGGGAAACCGAGUCUUAAUAGGGCGUUAGUUCGAUGGAUUAGACCCGAAACCAGGUGAUCUAGCUAUGAGCAGGUUGAAGGUGCGGUAACACGCACUGGAGGACCGAACCCACGCCUGUUGAAAAAGGCGGGGAUGACUUGUUGCUAGGGGUGAAAGGCCAAUCAAACCUGGAGAUAGCUGGUUCUCCGCGAAAUCUAUUUAGGUAGAGCGUUGAAUGAAUACCUCAGGGGGUAGAGCACUGAAUGGGCUAGGGGGACUCACCGUCUUACCAAACCUAAUCAAACUCCGAAUACCUGAGAGUACUAUUCAGCAGACACACUGCGGGUGCUAACGUCCGUAGUGGAGAGGGCAACAACCCUGACCGCCAGUUAAGGUCCCUAAGUCAUGGCUAAGUGGGAAAGGAUGUGAGGAUCCCAAAACAACCAGGAUGUUGGCUUAGAAGCAGCCAUCAUUUAAAGAAAGCGUAACAGCUCACUGGUCUAAACAAGGGUCUUUGCGCCGAAAAUGUACCGGGGCUAAAGCCAUGCACCGAAGCUGCGGGUGCACGUAAGUGCGCGGUAGCGGAGCGUUCUGUAGGCUGAUGAAGGGAUACCUGUGAGGGGUCCUGGAGGUAUCAGAAGUGCGAAUGCUGACAUGAGUAACGAUAAAGAGUGUGAGAGACACUCUCGCCGAAAGUCCAAGGGUUCCUGUGCAAUGCUAAUCAGCGCAGGGUUAGUCGGCCCCUAAGGCGAGGCAGAAAUGCGUAGUCGAUGGGAAUGAGGUUAAUAUUCCUCAACCAGUGGGAUGUGACGAAUUCCGGUAGUUGUAUUGUCUUAUUGGAUUGAUGAUGCAGCGUAGGAGUUCCAGGAAAUAGCACCCACAUCAGACCGUACCCUAAACCGACACAGGUGGACAGGUAGAGUAUACCAAGGCGCUUGAGAGAACGAUGCUGAAGGAACUCGGCAAAUUGCUCCCGUAAGUUCGCGAGAAGGGAGACCUAUAUGAGGGCAACCUUGUAUGGGUGGCACAGACCAGGGGGUUGCGACUGUUUAUCAAAAACACAGGGCUCUGCGAAGCCGCAAGGCGACGUAUAGGGUCUGACGCCUGCCCGGUGCCGGAAGGUUAAGAGGAGUUGUGAGAGCAGCGAAUUGAAGCCCCGGUAAACGGCGGCCGUAACUAUAACGGUCCUAAGGUAGCGAAAUUCCUUGUC